rnacentral:lncRNA from 1 species
GGUAGUACCUCGCCCCGGAUCCCUUCCAGUUUGAAAUUCAUAGCCUUAGACCCCAUUGGCUCAGUAGCAUCAGUAGCAGGGGUAUAGGCGGAACCCAUUUCAAUUUAUCCAUAUACGGAGCCAGAGCCAGUAGUUUCACCCGCGGCAUAAGUACCCAUUAAUGAAAAGAAAAGCGGAGGCGGAGGCCUGCCACCCUAGGAAUUAGGUAAUUGAUGCCGCUCCUAACUGUGUUGAAUGUAGAGGAGGGAGUACUUUCAUUCUUAAAAAAGCUUUCUCAACGCGCCUUAGAUGCUUAGUAUAUCGCCCUUCAUCGAUCCUUUUUGAAUAGAAAG